UUCUCUCUCUUCUUUUUUUUUUAUUAACUUUUUAAAAAAAACAAAACAAAAAAAACAUCUUAGUAAUCCACUCCAUUACUUUUUUUUCUUUCUUUUUCUAUUAACUUACUGAGAAAUGCUAUGGGACCCCAUAACUGCACCCCAAAUGUACACCUGAUGAGGUGUCGCAUUGGGGUUGGCUGGGUGUGGGGUCCACCCAUGCUUUUCACCCCCUAAUCGCCAAGCCCAAUGCGACACCUCAUAGGUGUGCAUUGGGGUGCAAGUAUGGGGGUACCUAGCAUUACCAUUAACUUAAUAUAUGCAAUUCUAUAUCUUUCUCAAACUAAAGCCAUAAAACGCUUUAAUAAAAUAAUUAGGAAACAAUAAUUCUAUGACAUUAUUUUAAAUAGCACCAUCGAAGUAAACAACAGCUACCGAAAAACAAAAAAUAUAGGGCUGUAAAAAAUGAACUGAAUAAUAAUUUUUUCGGGGGGAGGGGGGGGGGGGGGGGGGUGUUUGGGGAAUUGUUUGUGUGGUUGUUUUUUUGUUUGUUUUUUAUAUUUUUUUUUUUUGUUUCUAUAGGCUCCGGUUGGUACCAUCUUUUCGGUGUCUUUUUCAGCUUAUAGUAAAAAAGUUAGACAUAGAAUUUUUUUGUUUAUUUGUAGUGAAGGUAGGGUCCACAAGCAAAAAACCAAGCGCUCCCCCCACCCCUCACCUCUUAAUUGUUUCUACCCCCCCACCACCACACAGUACCAAGGAGCCAAAUGCAUUAACUAUUAUUACACUGCUUGGGUGUGGGAGAACCGCGCUACCCCCUGUAGGGCGUGCCCAAGGCAGUUUUUUGUAAAUAAUUAAUGUUGCUAAUAUUUAUGCUUUUGAAUAAUUUUUAGUUUUAUAGUUUAGAUUAAUUUUUUAAUUUUUAUGGUUUUUAUCCAUGUAUAAUCAGUAAAUAUACUUGAGCGACGAAAACCGUGAAACCGAAUAGAACCAAACCGUUAUUCUCAUGAUUUGGUUUGGUCCUAUAAUUCUCAUGAUUUAGUUCUGUUUAAAAAAGCCUAAACCGUUACUCACGAUUUGAUUUACUGUUUUUUUCUAAACUGAACUAAACAAACUGUGACAGCGCCAUAUUUAAGCUAUGAAGUUGCAAUAUUUUAGAAAUUUUACAGUGAAGAAUUUAACCUAUAAAUGCAAAAGAUUAUCCAAAAAUUACCAUAAACAACUCAUAAGAAUUACAAUAACUAUCAACUUAGUAUAUAUGACGUGGGACUAAGAAUGAAUCCCAUGCGCGUCCAUAUGUGUUUUUGGUACUUUUUGAGUACUUUUUUUGGUUAUCCAACUUUUUUGUAAUUUUUAUGAUUAAUAAAGAGUACACUAAGCAAUACAAUUUGGGGAUAGAGAGAGGAGAGAUAGAGAGAGAUGUGACGGAUGACAUGAUGAAAAUGACUAACGCGGAGAAAGAAGGGAGGGUAAUUCGUCUUUUAUUUCUAGAUUCCAUGGCAAUGAUAAAAGCCCUAAUUUUUGAUAUUUGGAUCCAUGCGGCACUGACUCACAUACAACUACCUCUUCCAUUUUAUAAAUGUAUUACGUUUUUUAUUUUUAAAUUACUACUAUAUUUCUCUCUAUAGCACAUUUUUGUGCAAAAAUAAUAAAUUUAUCCUUUGAAUAGGGCUCCAUUUUUUUCCUCCAUAUACCCAUUAAAUAAAUUAAUAUUCUUUUUUUUCAAAACAUCAUUGGUUGUUAACUAAAUUAUUUUAAUUUUUAAUUAAUAAAUAUUUUUUAAAAAGUAAUUUAAUCUUAAAUAGUUUUUAUUUUUUAAGUCUAAUGAAAAUGUACUUAAAAAUAUACAUUGUUAUCAAUAAAAUAUUUUAAAAAAUAAUCUAAAUAUUUUACUUUUUAAGUUCUUCUAAUCUAAAUAUAUACUUAAAAAAUACACUUUGUCAUCAGUUUUCUUUUUUAAAAAAGAGCGAAAUUUUAUUUAUAUUGAGAAACUAAAUUUAAAACCCUAAAUUAAUGACAAUCUUGUUAUUUUUACGCAAAAACUAGCUCCAUACAAAAAUAAGAAAAUCUUGAUAUUAAAUUCAAAAAUAAGAGAAGUCAGUGUUAUUUUUAAAAUUACAUGAUAGAUAACUGUAUUUGUGAGAAACUUCGAGAAAGUUAGUGAAAUUUAUGCAAAAUUUUUCUUAGCAGUUAUUUACAUACUCCUCUUUUUUAAUUAUACCCUUUUCCAUAUUUUUGAAGGUAAAUUUUCUCAAAUACUUAUUUAUACCAUAUAAAAGGACAUUUUAGUAAAUUUAUUCUAAUAAAUACAAAAAGAAGAAAUACAAUUAGAGAAAAGAGAAGUGUGUAAAUCACUAAUUUUUUUGCCAUGUUAAAAUUUGUUUGGUAGUCAUAUUAUCAAAUUUUAUUUGUCUUAAAAAAAUAAAUUACUUAUUUCAAAAUAUAAUUUGGUUAUAAAAUCUCCUUCACUUGCCGUGAAUAAUCAGCUUUAACAUGUUUUAUAAUUUAAAUAGUUCGGAUCAUC
rnacentral:lncRNA from 1 species